AGUGGCUAUGCAGCUUGGUGGUCUAGAACCACUGUCAGAUGCUGGAGCCCAUGGGGUGGCUGCAAACCAUGGCUGAAUGUUAUGAAAUAGAUGAGUGAUGUUGAACAGCAGCUUGACUCAUUGAAUCUUCACCAGAGCCCUGUGAGGUAUGGAUGAAAUGUUUGCUUUUGAAUUACUGGUGGUGGAUAUCAAGGAUGUCAAGGUAGAAGGCCACCUUACCUCACCAGGAUGUGAAGGAAUUUGCUAUAUUCCAAAGGUCUGCUCCAUGCUCAGAACCAUGACUAGGAAUAAAGGACACUGCCUGCUUUUCCCAGACACUCCAUUUAUGGGAAUCUGUGUUAUAUUUAGCUGCGAAGCUGGAGCAGUUCUGCAGGGACCAUCCAUUGCAGUUCUCACAUCAUAG
rnacentral:lncRNA from 1 species